AGAUAGUUUUAUAGAUCCUUAAGACUUGGCGCCACUUUCUCCUGCUGGUAAUAAUUCCUUGGUUGCAGAAUUAAAAACUCACUCGAGUCCCCAGGCAAUCAACCCUUCAAGCAACGCUGCUUAAUAGACUGUCUUCUUUGGUGCAUAUCCAGGACUAAUCUACCUUUUAUUGAUCAUGCAUGCAGCAUAGCCAUGUCCUCACUGCAUCCACUUCUCUUGUUUGGAAGCUGCACGCUCAUCCCCUCAUGGCAGCACAUUACCGCAUACAGGGUCCCGCUGUCAUCUCUGCCCCAGCCCUGCCUCUGUCCUUGCAGUCCUCUUUUUACUCUCUCCGUUCUGCCACCGUCCUUCCCAGCAUGCAUGUGUGCUGAUUUACAGCUGGGUGGAGAGAUGCAGAGAGAGAGAGAGAGGGAGAGGGGGAAGAAGUGAAUGUGGGAGACGGGGAGGAAGUGACUCGCAUCAGCAUGAUAGGGACCGUGUGUAAAUUACCGCCCCCUUUAAAGAGUCAUGAGCAUGAGAAGACGUGGAAUAGCUGCAGGUGAGGGUGUAGUGCAGCUGAAAAGCAAGAUUAGUUCAUUUAUUUAUUUUUUUUUUGCACAAUGAAUUUAACAAAAUAUGGGAAAUGUAUUUAGUUUGAGGUCAGAUUAAUCAAUGGAUGUCAUAUGUGAAACUACAACUAUUUCCAUUUUGCAUUCUUAACACAACACAACCACUUCAUUUGUAAUAAGCAUCUUUGAAGCACGUUUUUCAGCUUAAGAGCCUUCUUGGCUGGACAUUUACCUUAGUUGGCAAUUUGAAAUUUACCCAUACCCCAAUUUGACCACAAUUCACGAUGAUUCACACUCAGAACACUUUUCUUCAAUUUAUAUCUAAUUUCAGCAAUGAAAACAAGUUCUGGACGCACACUGUAAUUAGGUUUUAUUACAGUGGUAAAGUUGAGCCAUUUUAGAUUGAAAAGCUUUAAGAAAAUGCAAGUUUUGCUCUUUCGAAGCAAAUUAC